ACGUAGGUGGCAAGCGUUGUCCGGAAUUAUUGGGCGUAAAGCGCGCGCAGGUGGUUUAAUAAGUCUGAUGUGAAAGCCCACGGCUCAACCGUGGAGGGUCAUUGGAAACUGUUAAACUUGAGUGCAGGAGAGAAAAGUGGAAUUCCUAGUGUAGCGGUGAAAUGCGUAGAGAUUAGGAGGAACACCAGUGGCGAAGGCGGCUUUUUGGCCUGUAACUGACACUGAGGCGCGAAAGCGUGGGGAGCAAACAG
rnacentral:rRNA from 2 species